rnacentral:lncRNA from 1 species
CUCUCUGGUGCAUUCUUGCAGGAGGAACACCCUCGGUGCAUACACUUGAUCAGGAGUGCUGAGGGGGUAUGGACAGGGCAUGGGUGAUGACAUAAAACUCUUCCGUGUUAGGGUCCGCAAGACUCUUUGCUUAAGGAAAACAACAACAAAACAAUUUUGUCAUUGGAAACUGUAAGGCUCUGCCAUGCAGAUUUGCCAGAACAUAUUAUGAGCUUUGUCUUGACAAUAUGGGAUAUUCCAUGUGUAACUUUGCCACAGCUUGGUUUUGCCUGGGUUUGGCAUGGUAGAGAGGUCAGUGCAUCCUUGAUGUGAGUGGGUAGAUGGAGAGAUGAAUAGAGUAUGUGGAUGUCCAGAGAGGAGUUAUCCCUAGUGUGGGUCAUAUUGAAGGCUCUGGGGCCACAUCUAAGUCCUCCAGACUGACUCUGCCUUCCAGUCACACAUUUCUACAGAUUCCUCCAUCCUUCCUUGCUCCUAGCCAGGACAGUGGGCCCAGCAUUGAUGCUUUCCUGCUAUGCCCCUGUUAGAAUAUCCCAUUCUUUUUUCCUUUCAAGGCCCAUUCCUAUAGCUCUGACUUUUGUUAUCAUCUGAGAGGAAGGUGAGCUUGUAGCCCACCUUUGACAUUGAAGGAUUCAUUUGCAUAAAGUUAAAAUCUAAGGGGGUCUCAGGGCUCUCUACCAGGCAGAUCUCUACGUCUCUGGGAUAGUGGCUGUUCCUCUCCUGCCUGAAGCACUUGGAACGGCUCAUACAUAAAGGUGGUGUAAUGCACCCAGAGCAAUAAUUUCACGCUUAACAACCCACAUGCCAAUGGGGCUGCCACUCCCUGCCACCACAAACUCCGAAGGGUGCCAUCUUUAUAAUCUGUAGGCUGGGGGAACGAGCCCUUUAAAACUCAAAGUGGUUUGGGUCUUCUAAUGGCCCUGGCUUUCCUUUUGUAAAAACCCAUGCGUCUGUGGGGCUCUUGUGCCACUACUCACAAGGUGACAGCGGUGAUCAGAAAUGUAAUUUUCAAUAUUUAUGAUUGAAAAUGUAAUUUAGAAAUGAAGGAAAGGGCACUUGUUCCUCCUUAGCUUGAAGUGAAAUCAUUGUUUUGAGACGUGUUCUUUAUACAGUUAAUCUGGCCAGUGUAAUUUACCACACCAUGGCUGAAUUGUAAGUCUGGCGCUCUAUUCAUCAAGUGAGAGUUAUGGGUGCAAAAUGCGUAGGAAUUAAUAGGUGUUGUGUGGUUCUAUGGCUAUUUGAUUUCAGAAAUUUGGAAAAGGCAGGAGUUCAGUGAACUAAAUUGGUGCCAUGUGUCACCUCCAGGGGACAGAUUCCAUAAAAGGGUCAACAGGUGAGUUUGGCCGUAUGUAUGUGAAGGGUCUUGGUUCAGGUCUUGAGGUCCUUGUCCCACUUGGACAGUGAGGCAUAGCUGUGACUAGCCCAUUUGGAUGAAUGUAGCAAGGGAUGUCAACAGAGGAGGCUAUCUCUGGCUUGCCAGGUCUAUAGUUCACACUGUCCUGCGUGUGUAUGUGUAGGGAGGUGUGUGUGUGCGCGCGCGCACGCGUGCAUGCAUGUGAACAUUUAACUUUUCACUUUGAAGUAAUUUAAGACUCACAAAAAGUUGCAAGCAUAGCAUCAAAACCACCCAUGUGUUUCUUCCUCAGCCACCCCCCCACCCCCGUGAUAACACUACCAUGACCGACCAUCUCUGCAUACCAUUGAAACCAGAAAACUGACACUGGGAUAAUACUAUUGACUAAACUACAGACCUUAUUUGAGUGACACAUAUAUGUUCUGAAGAUUGAACUGACCGCCAACAUGUCACAUCAGGGCGAUGUCAUGCAGAAGUAAGAUUAGUUCAUACCGAGCCUGUGUUCGGCAGGGAGACAGUGGAGAGCUGAGUGACAGCAGCCUCCGAGGAGCAGCACAUGCUCCCUAAUUGCCUGUGGUCCUCACCACUCCCUAAUGACACACCUUCCUUGGCUUGGUCAUUUGAUCUGCCUGCUGUGAUUCCUGAAUGGCUACAGGUCCCCCAGUGGUUGGUGGGAACUGAUUAGCAGUUCAGAAGGACUCUGCCCUAAUGAGUGUACACCCCAGGGACCUGCUGCCCAGCAGGAAGUCUUUUGAAGGCUUCUUGUGCACAACACACAGUUGCAGUGGGGAGUGGGACCACUCACUGCCACUGGAGAGGAGUUCAAAAGACGCGGCAUGUGCUCCUGGCCAAACCUCAGAGGCAUGGACAUUUUCCUAAACCCCCAGGCAUUGUCCAAAGCACACACUUUAGACUUUAGCAGUAUCCCUCCUGACUCCCAGUAGCCUCCUGACCAAACUGCAUGUCAUUUUGUAGUCCUGAGUGACCCUUUGGCUAAACAAUAGAUUUGGAGGCAGAUACACCCUCUUGUGUCUCUCCCGCGGUGGCAUUUAAUCCAUAAGCAAGAUAGGCAUUUGGAUCUUGGUUCUAAGAACAGUCUUCUGUUUUUCCAAGGACAGGGAAGGUGGUGGAUUUGAUGGAGGUGGCAGUUGAACUGAUGCCCAGGAGACGCUGUCCCUGGAGGGGUGUCAGUACAGCAGAGAGCUUUGUAAACAUGGAGCCCUCUGUGGGGUCUGUUGUCUCUUCCCCAAAUUCAAUCCUGCAAACACUUGCUUUUGCUACCUAUGUGGCAGGCUCAGAGCUAGAGAUGCUGGGGGCAAUGCAGAUUUGGGAUAAGUCACAGCCCUUGUUCUUCAGGAGUUCUCAGCAUUCUAGAAAAAAAAAAAAAUCUAUAGAUUAAACUAGGCUAAAGCAGGGUGCUAUUUGACCAGAGCAGACUGUCUAGAGCAUUCUGCCAGGGCAUCAGGGGCCAGGGCUCAGUUUUUUUUUCCCCAGAUAGCACAUUCGAAUGCACUCAGCAUAACGGCUACAAAGAGCAAAAACAAAAGCAGCAAGUGUUAUUUUAGAAGGCUGUGGGGGGGGGGGAAGUGGGUGGCCAGGGAUGUGGAGAAAGGAAACAAACUGAACAUCUGGAGAGAAAGACAAAACAGAAUCUCCUUGUGAGUGCCCCUUUUCUCUGCAUUGCUGGGCUCCUCCCUGGCCUCACAGUGUUAGAGGAUUAGUUCUGGAUUCUCUUAGUAAUUAAUAGCAUUUAAGUUCCAGGGUAGUCAGUUUUGAUUAAGCAAACAUUAGAUUAAUCCAAUCUGCAAACGCUUACUCUCUAAGCGCUAUUGGGGGUCGGGGGGGUGGGGUGGGGGAAGAGGCAGCUGGAUGGACAGAAGGAUGCAGCCCCAUUGGAUUGCCGGCCACCUCCGAGUAGUUACGGCUGGAUCAAUACAGCUCCUAGAGCUAUAAUAAAAUGGCUUCGACAUGCUCAUCUGUGGCUGAGAACACAGUAUACACAUUGAUUUCCUGGCCUGAUAUAACCCAUUUACCUAUUCAGCUACUCCGUUCAGGAAGGUGGAGGGGUCCCAAGGCCCAGGGGAGCAAUGAUGCCUGUAAGUAGGUUAGCAGAUGCUUGGGGAUGUCUUAAUCGCUGCGCGGUUCCCUCUUCAGGAAGACACGUUUCUUUGCAAAGAAAAGGCCUCCUUAGACUCUUAUCGGCUUCAUCUGGGGAAACACUGGAAGUUGGGGGUGUCACCUUUCCCGCUCAUCAGGAUUUGCCCUUCUCAUUACUUAAAACUUCGAUGUUGUGCGACUGUCUUAGCUUCUUGGAGGGCAAGAGGGGGUCUGACUUAAAAACCAGCUCCUUCCAGGCGUACCUUUGACUCUGAUUCAGGUGCGUUUGGAGGCGCCCACAGAGAAUGCCCCGGGAUUCUUUGAUGGAAGAUCUCUUUCCCUAUACUAGUUUUUACUUUCCAAUAUAAUUUGAAAAGAAACCGAGGCUGUUUGAGAGAAAUUAAUGAGACAGCGUGGUGUAUCCCAUUUAGGACUCCAUGCGGUUGGUUUUGUGACAUGACAAGACUGACGCUUUAGAACCAGUCGAUGAAGUCCUCCUGAAAUAGUCCUUGUCUCCCUGUACUUCUUAAAAUGAAGCUAUUAUCUCCAGAAGCAAUUUUAGACUCUGUCCUCUGUGUUCCGCCUUUAGGAACAGGCUUGCUUUUUCCUGGUAGGUUUUCAUUCUUGGAAGGUAUCAAGUAGGUUUUGGAAUGGCCAGAAAUCAUCCCAAGUCCCACUCACACUGAUGGUCACUUUGGGUGAGAAAUAGUUUCCCAGCGAAGUGACGUGGGAGGCUGUGGGCAGAAGCACUUUUCCUUUGUCCUUCCCAGAAAUGGAAAAGUGUUCUAGGAUUUUGACAUGGAAAAAAUGGCUGAUGUUGAGCCCUGAGGGUGGAGGAAGAGACUUAACUCUUGAGCUAAGACUUAGUCAUUGGGAUCUCCAUUUAGAAUUAAAAUAUAUAUAUAUUUAUUUAUUUUUAUGUGGUGCUGAGGAUUGAACCCAGGGCCUCACAUGUGCUAGGCGGGUGCUCGGCUGCUGAACCACAACCCCAGCUGGGUUUGAUCCUCAGAACUACAUAAAAUAAGGGCUGGGGAUAUAGCUCAGUUUGUUGGGUGCUUGUCUUGCAUGCACAAGGCCCUGGGUUCAAUCCCUAGCACUACAGUAAAUAAAUGAAUAAAUAAGCACAUUAAAAACUUAUUUAUUUAUUCUAAUUUGUUAUACAUUAUAGAAUGCAUUUCAAUCUAUAGUAUACAUAUAGAGCACAAUUUUUCAUUUCUUUGGUUGUACACAAAGUUGAGUCACACCAUUCGUGACUUCCUAUGUGUACUUACCAAGUGAUGCAGCCACAUCAAUGUCUAUAGCAGCACAGUUCACAAUAGCUGAAUUGCAGAACUGACCUAGAUGCCCUUCAGUAGGUGAAUGGACAAAGAAACUGUGGUAUAUACACACAAUGGAAUAUUACUCAGCGUUAAAAGAGAAUAAAAUCAUGGCAUUUGCAGGUAAGUGGAUGGAGUUGAAGAAUAUCAUGCUAAGUGAAGUAAGCCAAUCCCAAAAAGCCAAAGGACAAAUGUUU